rnacentral:rRNA from 1 species
GAUGAACGCUAGCGGCAGGCCUAAUACAUGCAAGUCGGACGGGAUUCAGGAGCUUGCUUCUGAUGAGAGUGGCGCACGGGUGCGUAACACGUAUGUAACCUACCUUUAUCAGGGGGAUAGCCUCUCGAAAGAGAGAUUAAGCCCGCAUAAAAUCACAGCACAGCAUUGUGUAAUGAUCAAAUAUUUAUAGGAUAAAGAUGGGCAUGCGGAACAUUAGCUAGAUGGCGGGGUAACGGCCCACCAUGGCGACGAUGUUUAGGGGAUCUGAGAGGAUGGCCCCCCAGACUGGUACUGAGAAACGGACCAGACGCCUACGGGAGGCAGCAGUAAGGAAGAUUGGUCAAUGGGCGGAAGCCUGAACCAGCCAUGCCGCGUGCAGGAAGACGGCCCUACGGGUUGUAAACUGCUUUUAUACGGGAAUAAACCCAGAUACGUGUAUCUGGCUGAAUGUACUGUAAGAAUAAGGAGCGGCUAACUCCGUG